GAUGAACGCUGGCGGCGUGCUUAACACAUGCAAGUCGAACGGUGAAGCAGAGCUUGCUCUGUGGAUCAGUGGCGAACGGGUGAGUAACACGUGAGCAACCUGCCCCUGACUCUGGGAUAAGCGCUGGAAACGGCGUCUAAUACUGGAUAUGAGCUGCGACCGCAUGGUCAGCAGUUGGAAAGAUUUUUCGGUCUGGGAUGGGCUCACGGCCUAUCAGCUUGUUGGUGAGGUAAUGGCUCACCAAGGCGUCGACGGGUGGCCGGCCUGAGAGGGUGACCGGCCACACUGGGACUGAGACACGGCCCAGACUCCUACGGGAGGCAGCAGUGGGGAAUAUUGCACAAUGGGCGAAAGCCUGAUGCAGCAACGCCGCGUGAGGGAUGACGGCCUUCGGGUUGUAAACCUCUUUUAGCAGGGAAGAAGCGAAAGUGACGGUACCUGCAGAAAAAGCGCCGGCUAACUACGUG
rnacentral:rRNA from 1 species